UACGGGGGGGCAAGCGUUGUUCGGAAUUACUGGGCGUAAAGGGCUCGUAGGUGGCCAACUAAGUCAGACGUGAAAUCCCUCAGCUUAACUGGGGAACUGCGUCUGAUACUGGAUGGCUUGAGAUUGGGAGAGGGACGCGGAAUUCCAGGUGUAGCGGUGAAAUGCGUAGAUAUCUGGAGGAACACCGGUGGCGAAGGCGGCGAUCUGGGAAGAUACUGACGCUGAGGUGCGAAAGCGUGGGGAGCAAACAGG
rnacentral:rRNA from 1 species